rnacentral:rRNA from 1 species
AGUGAACGCUGGCGGUAGGCCUAACACAUGCAAGUCGAACGGCAGCACAGUAAGAGCUUGCUCUUACGGGUGGCGAGUGGCGGACGGGUGAGGAAUACAUCGGAAUCUACUUUUUCGUGGGGGAUAACGUAGGGAAACUUACGCUAAUACCGCAUACGACCUACGGGUGAAAGCAGGGGAUCUUCGGACCUUGCGCGAUUGAAUGAGCCGAUGUCGGAUUAGCUAGUUGGCGGGGUAAAGGCCCACCAAGGCGACGAUCCGUAGCUGGUCUGAGAGGAUGAUCAGCCACACUGGGACUGAGACACGGUCCAGACUCCUACGGGAGGCAGCAGUGGGGAAUAUUGGACAAUGGGCGCAAGCCUGAUCCAGCCAUACCGCGUGGGUGAAGAAGGCCUUCGGGUUGUAAAGCCCUUUUGUUGGGAAAGAAAAGCAGCAGGUUAAUACCCCGCUGUUCUGACGGUACCCAAAGAAUAAGCGCCGGCUAACUUCGUG